rnacentral:rRNA from 1 species
CCCUUAGAUGUUCUGGGCCGCACGCGCGCUACACUGAUGCAUUCAACGAGUCUAAAACCUGGUCUGAUAGGGCUGGGUAAUCUUUUGAAUGUGCAUCGUGAUUGGGAUAGAUGAUUGCAAUUCUUCAUCUUCAACGAGGAAUGCCUAGUAAACGCAAGUCAUCAGCUUGCAUUGAUUACGUCCCUGCCCUUUGUACACACCGCCCGUCGCUCCUACCGAUUGAAUGUUCCGAUGAAUACCAUGGACUGAGAGUAUGAAUGGGUUCGCCUAUUUCUGCUUCUCGGAAAGUGGAGUAAAUCUUAACAUUUAGAGGAAGGAGAAGUCGUAACA